rnacentral:lncRNA from 1 species
GGCUAGCCGAUCGAACAGGACUGUUCGAUCGGACAGCUGCUCGAUCAGGAAUGCUGUUCGAUCAGCUGACCUUUCCUCUUUUGGAAGCCUAUAAAUAGGGCUGUCUUUGUCAUACUUUCCACUUUUGGAAAAGCUCUGACCGACCAGCCUCUUCUUCUCACUAAAUCCAAGAUUUCUCUCAAACCUGUAAGUAUUUCACUCUAAUCUUUGUACGUUUUGUUCAUUAAUCGAUUCUCCAUCUUUCUAUCUUUCAAAAUCUGGAUUUCAUCCAUGAAAUCACCAAGAUCUAGGCGUUCUUGAGUGAUGUCAUCAUGGUGAUCUUAACAUUUCACGGUGGAAAAGGAUUGGAAGAUGGGUUUUCAUCUAUCUUUCAACUCUUUUACACUCAAGCCGGUGAAAACGAGCUUGAACCGAUUCAUAAAUCAACCUAA